AAAAAAAACAGAAGGGGUAACACUGAUGUUUUUUAUUGGUCGUCAUGAAAAAAACAAAAGGGAAAUAAUAGAAAUACACACAUACAUUUUAAUGUCAUGUAUCCUCUUUAUUGAUGAUUGAUUAUUGUGUAAAGUCAUCGCCUUAGUGGUGCAGUGGAGUGCAAUCUGCCUAACCCCCUGGUGACCGGGGUUCAAGUCCGGUGGAUGUCAUCUGUUGGAAGACUCUUAUCUCUAUUUCAUGUGAAUUAUAAAGUCAAGCAUAACCUUUGUGAUGGCGUAAUCCGGUGUCUUGAUGGUGCAUUGUUAAGUUCGGAGGUUAACACUCUAAACAGCUCAUGUUCGGAUCCCCGCAAAAACGUUGACAGGGGUGCCACUGUCGUUUUUUAUUGGUUAACAUGGAAAAAACAUGAGGGGUAACUGUCGUUUUUUAUCGGCCGUUAUGAAAUAAACAUAAGAGUAAACACUGUCGAUAUUUAUCAAAUAAAACAGGGGGUAACACUGUUGUUUUUCUUUGGUCGUCAUGAAAAAAACACAAGGGGUAACACUGUCGUUUUUAUCAAAUGAAACAUAAGGGGUAACACUGUUGUUUUUUAUUGGUCGUCAUGAAAAAAAACAAAGUGUAACACUGUUGUCUUUGUCAGAUAAAAUAUAAGGGGUAACACUGUCGUUUUUUAUUGGUCGUCAUGAAAAAAAACAUAAGGGAAAUAAUAGAAGUACACACAUACAUUUUAAUGUCAUGUAUAUCCUCUUUAUUGAUGAUUGAUUAUUGAGUAUUGUCAUCCCCUCAGUGGUGCAGUGGAGUGCACUCUGCCUAACCCACUGGAGACCGCAGCUCAAUUUCUGUGGAAAACACAAUAUCUUUAAUUUUAAACGUAAUGCUAUCAUGUCUAUUAUCAAGUCAUAUAUAACCACAGACAAUUUUUAUUUAUAAAUCUCAGUGGGAUGUGGAGAGAGCUGUGAGCUAACCCCCUGGAGACCGGGCUUCAAGUCCGGUUGAUGCCCUCUGUUGGAAGACUCAUAGGCCUAUUUCUAUUUCAUGCAAAUUAUAAAGUCAAGUAUAACCAUUUUAUUGGUUAACCACUUUAUUCGGUGUCUUGAUGGUUCAUUGAUACGUUCGGAGGUUAACACUCCCAACAGCUCAGUUUCGGAACCCCGCAAAAACGUCUACAUGGGUACCACUGUCAUUUUUUAUUGGUUAACAUGGAAAAAACAUGAGGGGUAACUGUCGUUUUUUAUCGGCCGUUAUGAAAUAAACAUAAGCGGUAACACUGUCGUUAACCAUUGAAACAAAGGGAGUAACACUGUAGUUUUUAUCAAAUGAAACGUGAGGGGUGACACUGUCGUUGUCAAAUAAGUGUCCUUGUCAAAUAAAAUAUAAGGGGUAACACUGUUGUUUUUCAUCAGUCAUCAUGGGAAAAAACACAAGGGGUAACACUGUCGUUUCUAUCAAAUGUACAUUUCUCGCUAGAAAUGUCAUAAACACGUUUAAUGGUGUAUCUGUCCUAAAAUAUUGGAUUUCCCAUUCAGAUAAUAACGAUUAAUACUACGUAACAAUUUCACCAAAUGCUAGGAGAACGUAUCGCCCCCUUUUGGUGCUAUUCCCCCAUUCAUGACGCUUUGCUCGAGCAAAGCGUGACCCUGAACACGCCUUGCGAUGUGGCCAAACGUAUCUAUUUUACGCCUUGGCGUGAUACCGGGUUGGGCACACACGGGCACACACACACACACACACACACACACACACACACACACACACACACACACACACACACACACACACACACACACACACACACACACGCACACACACAUAGUUGGGCAAUACAUUUGACCUUUUACAUUUCUGCAUUUUUAGCAAUGCUUUGCGCUUUUCAUUCGGCUGUCACUUUAUUUGUUUCCAACCAUUUACUUUUUCUUAAAUGGUGAGCAUGUUUACAUUGUUUACUCCAUUUAGACUUUUGAACUUUUGUUCAAAUCCCUUCACUUGAUUUAAGCCAUGUAACGUUUCUUUAAGUCUUAAUCAAUGUGGCUUUAUUAAAAAUUAUUUUCAACCUCACUUUGUACUACAGCACUCACCGCAUUUUCUGCAGGAAAUGCAUUUUCUAGUUCUGAUUGCUGUAGUAUACUACAUGCCGAAUUUGGUAGGAUGCUACUUACUACAGGUAACCCUUUGGUAAUAUCUCUCAUUUAACUUCAGUGCAUCAUGGUGGGGUAAGUUGAAUGACUGUAUGUUGAGAGAACUGUAGGUGUUCGACUGAUUUCAUUACCAUUACCAUUAUUUUCUGAUGCACCUUUAAGUGGGGAGAGAGACACAAGUGAAAUAGGGUUUCAUUGUCAGUCUUGCCCGUCCAAUCAGAGGGCUUUCCUUCGUUUACAUUCACCAUCAAAAAAGGCGCGCAAGUCAUUAAUCCACUGAGAGCUCAAAUCCAUUUUUUUAUCUCACUCUCAAAAAUGCAUUGUGUUAUUUUAUAGUGUAGUGUAUGUUGUACACUAUGCAAUCUUUAAUAAAUUCCACUUUUAUGUCAUAAAUAUAACAUGCCUUUGAUUACAUUUUGUAUGGUGCAUCUAAUCUAGGUCUAUCUUAUGUUCAAUCAAAUGUGCUUUGCCCACCCGUUUUUCUCUGUGCCUCACCCAUUUGAAUAUUUCUGUCUACGCCACUGCUUUCAUGAAAUAUUCAGCCUUUUUAAACUUGGAAUAGUCAUUACUUUUAUAAAUGCAUCAAUAUGGAAAACAUGUUUACGUAAAUGUUCUUGAUGACCCGGUCCACUUGAUGAAUGUUUGGGGUGUCGGAUGUUGUGUGUUGCAGAGAGCCAGUGUAUGGGAUGUAAGAGGCGGGACAUUAGCCAUUAACACAUGCCAGCGUAAAAGCCGAACCACUUACAGAAACGGCCUCAUUUUGAGAAAAUUCUGCAUAUUUUGGAACAGAAUAUGCAAAAUACCUUUUGACCUUAUGGAGGAAGCUUGUGGAGGCUGGAGUUUGUUUUUCAGUGUCCAUAAAUGGAACGAUAAAGGUUAUUGCAUGUAAUGAGUUAUGUUAGCACUGCCCACCAGAUGGUAAUCAGGGGUUGAUUACAUGAAAAUAGCUCUUAGUUAAUUUAACUUUUGGGAAGUUAGUUUGUUGUUGGAUAUUCGACAGAUAUUUGCAUAUUCAUUUCGGGUUCAUCAGCGGUUCCUGCCGAGGUUUCAGUCAGUUUUGGCAGACAACCAUUAGCGGUUCCUCCAGUGCUGUCAGUCAGUUUUGGGGGACAACCAAGGGACAAACACUUGCUCCUGACUGCUUGCCUUUCAAAUAGGGACCGUCAAUAAAUCACUCCAUUAAUUUCUUAUGGAAAAUGCUUUUUGCUCAAUAGCUUCCAUGGUAUGGCACCAAAACACCCCAAACCAAUGCAGAACUGUUAUACUUCGUGCUACUAAUUAGACACACAGGAUAAUAUCAUUAAUUGCACCUACAAUUUUAUUUGAUCUUCUAAAGAAUCCCAUUCAUUUCCUGCGGAAUAUGGCUUUUUUCUCAAUAGCUUCCAUGGUACCAAAACACCCCAAACCAAUGCAAAUACUAACCACACUUUUGGUCAAAUAUUUACAACGUACAAUAAUAUUCAGCUUCAUACAUGGUGGGGGAGGGGGUGCUUAUCCUGCACAGCAACAAACCACGCUGGGUAUGAAUAACUGAUGGGAUUGUUCGGUAGGGCCUCAGCAGGGUCUGUUAUUCUACACAGACCUACUGAAGUGUCUGCAGACUGAGCUGCUGCCCAUGUGAUCCCGUCCACCCAUUAGGUUACAUAAGGUGUGACCUUUGUGAGCACUACCAGGGCCACGGGUUAAUCCCACAACAGAGACUUUGGUUGCAUAACACGAAAAGCAUCUUUGUAUGUUUUUCGUCUCUUGUUUUGUUCGAGGAUAAGAUGAUUAUUCACUGCAUUGGGCACUUUUAUCAGAGUAAUUUAAACAAAUAUUGGAUCGAUUGAAUUGGCCCAGAAUUUUUUUAUAGUAAAUACAUUUUUAUGAUUCAUAUCAGUCCAUCUAUUAUUAAUCAUACAACAAAAUACACUUGGGAAUAGAUUCCGAUCAAAAAAGUCA
ensembl:lncRNA